AAUUCACGGAAUUAUAAUUUUAUUUAAUAUUUUUUUAUGAUAAGGUUUUUAUUUUAAUCAAACAAAAACAAAAACAGAGGUCACGUUUCACGCACCCUGCGGUUUCCUCCUGCCGUUUCAUCUCUGUUCGUCUCCGCCUCCACGAUUCGUCUCCUCCAUCCACGAUUCAUCAGAGGUCACGUUUCGUGGCCUGUUUUGCAGGCCAUCAAUUCCAAGGACUCGCCGUUGUCACACCGUACUCCUCCCAUCCAUCCCUCUACUACGAAAUUAAAAAAGCUAAGUGAGAGAAGUUGGAGAAGCUUGCUAGUAAGGUUCGUAGCGGUAAAGAUAAAGGUGAAUGGAUUGAUGAAGACAAAAUAAAAGAAUAAACGGACCAAUGGAUUAUAGUAAAUCUGCUUUAGUGAAUUUCAAUUUAAGUAGAUUAUACUAAAUUUAUGUUGGUUAUUGUUUUAGAGGAUGAAAUUGAAUAGAGAGCCAACCUGUUUUGAGGUUUAUCAGAGAAUGCAUAAACCAAAGGAAAAAUCAAAUGAGUGGUUUAACAAAGAACAAGCUCUGAUAGCU